UCCCUGGUGGUCCAGUGGCUAAGACUCUGAGUUCCCAAUGCAGGGGCCCAGGUUCAAUCCCUGGUGAGGGAA
rnacentral:tRNA from 1 species